ACGAAGGGGGCUAGCGUUGUUCGGAAUUACUGGGCGUAAAGCGCGCGUAGGCGGUUUUGCAAGCCAGAGGUGAAAUGCCUGAGCUCAACUUAGGAAUUGCCUUUGGGACUGCGAGGCUUUGAGGACUGGAGAGGUGAGUGGAAUUCCCAGUGUAGAGGUGAAAUUCGUAGAUAUUGGGAAGAACACCAGUGGCGAAGGCGGCUCACUGGCCAGUUUCUGACGCUGCAGCGCGAAAGCGUGGGGAUCAAACAGGA
rnacentral:rRNA from 1 species